CAGUAGAGACAGAGGAGAGAGAUCAGAGGAGACAGAGGAGAGAGAUCAGAGGAGACAGAGGAGAGAGAUCAGAGGAGACAGAGGAGAGAGAUCAGAGGAGACAAUCAGAGGAGACAGUAUAGAGAGACAGAGUAGAGAGGUCAGAAGAGACAGUAUAGAGAGAUCAGAGGAGACAGAGGAGAGAGAUCAGAGGAGACAGAGGAGAGAGAUCAGUAGAGACAGAGUAGAGAGACAGUAUAGAGAGACAGAGUAGAGAGAUCAGUAGAGACAGAGGAGAGAGAUCAGAGGAGACAGAGGAGAGAGAUCAGAGGAGACAGAGGAGAGAGAUCAGAGGAGACAGAGGAGAGAGAUCAGAGGAGACAGUAUAGAGAGACAGAGUAGAGAGGUCAGAAGAGACAGUAUAGAGAGAUCAGAAGAGACAGAGGAGAGAGAUCAGAAGAGACAGUAUAGAGAGACAGUAUAGAGAGAUCAGAAGAGACAGUAUAGAGAGACAGAGUAGAGAGAUCAGUAGAGACAGUAUAGAGAGACAGAGUAGAGAGAUCAGAAGAGACAGUAUAGAGAGAUCAGAAGAGACAGUAUAGAGAGACAGUAUAGAGAGACAGAGUAGAGAGAUCAGAAGAGACAGUACAGAGAGACAGAGUAGAGAGAUCAGAAGAGACAUUAUAGAGAGAUUAGAAGCAGGGAGACAGUAUAGAGAGAUCAGAAGAGACAGUAUAGAGAGAUCAGAAACAGUGUAGAGAGACAGAGUAGAGAUCAGUAGAGACAGAGUAGAGAGAUCAGAGUAGAGAGAUCAGAAGAGACAGUAUAGAGAGACAGAGUAGAGAGAUCAGAAGAGACAGUAUAGAGAGAUCAGAAGAGACAGUAUAGAGAGACAGAGUAGAGAGAUCAGUAGAGACAGUAUAGAGAGACAGUAUAGAGAGACAGAGUAGAGAGAUCAGUAGAGACAGAGUAGAGAGAUCAGAAGAGACAGUAUAGAGAGACAGUAUAGAGAGACAGAGUAGAGAGAUCAGAAGAGACAUUAUAGAGAGAUUAGAAGCAGGGAGACAGUAUAGAGAG
rnacentral:lncRNA from 1 species